rfam:Eubacterium infirmum F0142 genomic scaffold supercont1.4, whole genome shotgun sequence.
UCCGGUGAUAAUAGCGAAGAGGUCACACCUGUUCCCAUCUCGAACACAGUAGUUAAGCUCUUCAGCGCCGACAAUACCUGGUGGGCGACUGCCCGGGAAGAUAGGACAUUGCCGGUU